GAUAGGAUUGUUCCUGUUGAUAUUUAUGUACCUGGUUGUCCUCCCACUGCUGAGGCAUUGCUCUAUGGUAUUUUGCAGCUUCAGAAGAAAAUUCACCGCAGAAAAGAUUUUCUUCAUUGGUGGACCAGUUAAUAUGAUCAUGAUCCUUCAAAUUAUAGUGUAUGUGGUACUUAUCUUUCAUAUAUAUAUAUAUAUGUGUGUGUGUGUUAUGCUUCUUGUGUGUACUCAAGAUGCAUGCCAAUAAAAUGGAAGCUGGAACGUCAAGUGGAUGGAGUUUACCUUUGUAGUGUCGGGCUAAAAAAAGGAGAUAGCAUAAUGCUGGUCCGACUUGUAUAUCGUAUUUGGUUGAAGAAGCAUCGGACAAGUUGGAGUUCUUACUUUCUUGGGACUCCACGAUCAAGAUCUGUUUUUUUAUUAUAUGGUCAUAUC
rnacentral:lncRNA from 1 species